AAGGCGCGGAACUACUCAGUGGUGAAGGCUGUGCGGACACUGGGGGCCCGCCAGGGGUUUGGCCCCUUACUCAACCCAACCACGGUCCUCUCCGGCGCAGGCCGAUUUGAGGACCUAGACUCCUUGAUGCUGACGGCCUGAGGGGGCUCCCGGGUGCCGGAUAUCUGACACAGGCCAGGGAGGCUCCCCUGGGAGACCUGGCAGGCCUGGAGGUGUGAGUCGGCUCUGAGCAGCUGCUCUGGGAGAGCCAGUCCACGGAGCCAAAGCUGGAGGGCAGCUGCCGGCCACAAGUUGGGGAGGAGGAGAGACGCAAGGCCGUCAGAUGCUUGUCCUGGAAACCAACCAUGAGCUGUGAUGAAAUCCAGGCAACUGAGUUGUGUUUCAGCCCAAAGCAGCAAAUGGAAUCCAGGUGACUGACAUCAUUAUCUAUCAGACAUGUGAGAGAACUCCUUAGAAUGAUGUUACUCAUUAUCUGCAACCACAUGAGAAACCCGGAGCAAGAACCACCCAGCCAAGGCCAAUCUCUAGAACUUUGAAAGAUAAUCAUAAAUAAAGGUGUCGUUUUACACUA
rnacentral:lncRNA from 10 species